rnacentral:rRNA from 1 species
CGGACGGGUGAGUAACACGUGGAUAACCUGCCAUAUACAGGGGGAUACCAGUUAGAAAUAGCUGCUAAAACCGCAUAAGCGCACGGGGACGCAUGUUCCAGUGUGAAAAACUCCGGUGGUGUGAGAUGGACCCGCGUCUGAUUAGGCAGUUGGCGGGGUAACGGCCCACCAAACCGACGAUCAGUAGCCGGCCUGAGAGGGUGGACGACCACAUUGGGACUGAGACACGGCCCAAACUCCUACGGGAGGCAGCAGUGGGGAAUAUUGCACAAUGGGGGAAACCCUGAUGCAGCGACGCCGCGUGAGUGAAGAAGUAUUUCGGUAUGUAAAGCUCUAUCAGCAGGGAAGAAGUCAGACGGUACCUGAGUAAGAAGCCCCGGCUAACUACGUGCCAGCAGCCGCGGUAAUACGUAGGUGACAAGCGUUGUCCGGAUUUACUGGGUGUAAAGGGCGCGUAGGCGGACUAUCAAGUCAGUCGUGAAAUACCGGGGCUUAACCCCGGGGCUGCGAUUGAAACUGACAGCCUUGAGUAUCGGAGAGGAAAGCGGAAUUCCCAGUGUAGCGGUGAAAUGCGUAGAUAUUGGGAGGAACACCAGUGGCGAAGGCGGCUUUCUGGACGACAACUGACGCUGAGGCGCGAAAGUGUGGGGAGCAAACAGGAUUAGAUACCCUGGUAGUCCACACCGUAAACGAUGGAUACUAGGUGUAGGAGGUAUCGACUCCUUCUGUGCCGCAGUUAACACAAUAAGUAUCCCACCUGGGGAGUACGACCGCAAGGUUGAAACUCAAAGGAAUUGACGGGGGCCCGCACAAGCAGUGGAGUAUGUGGUUUAAUUCGAAGCAACGCGAAGAACCUUACCUGGGCUUGACAUCCCGCUGACCGUCUUAGAGAUAAGAUUUUCCUUCGGGACAGCGGUGACAGGUGGUGCAUGGUUGUCGUCAGCUCGUGUCGUGAGAUGUUGGGUUUAAGUCCCGCAACGAGCGCAACCCCUAUUUUCAGUAGCCAGCGGAGAAAGCCGGGCACUCUGGGAAGACUGCCGGGGAUAACCCGGAGGAAGGUGGGGAUGACGUCAAAUCAUCAUGCCCCUUAUGAUCUGGGCGACACACGUGCUACAAUGGCGUAAACAGAGGGAAGCGAGGCCGAGAGGCGGAGCGAAUCCGAAAAAUAACGUCCCAGUUCGGAUUGUAGUCUGCAACCCGACUACAUGAAGCUGGAAUCGCUAGUAAUCGCGGAUCAGAAUGCCGCGGUGAAUACGUUCCCGGGUCUUGUACACACCGCCCGUCACACCAUGGGAGUCAGAAAUGCCCGAAGUCUGUGACCGAACCGAGAGGGAGGAGCAGCCGAAGGCAGGUCUGGUGACUGGGGUGAAGUCGUAACAAGGUAG